GUUGCGUUUUGUAGUGACCAUUGAGAGCUGGGGCUCUCUUCAAGUCUUAAUAUAAUUUGAACAGGGCCAAUCUCUGCGAGUCCCCUCGACCGAUGCAUGGUGUGUGAGUAGAUGAUAAAAGAGAAGAGAAGAAAGAGGAAAAGUUAGAAUUGAAAUGAUAAAAACUUAGAAGUCAGAAGUCAUAAAACUGAAAGAGAAGAGAGUAUACUGUUGUGAACGAUUGAUUUCCCGGUGAGUAACGAUCAAUGUUUACAUUAUAAAAUGAGCCUUGUACUCUCUCUUUAGUCGGGAUGAACUCGAAACAGGUCGGAGUAAUUUAUUAAUGUCAGAAGACAUUAUGUGUUUAUGUGCUUUAUGAAUCUUGUGCUGUUAUUUUAUUACUGUGAGUGAAACUCCUGAUAGAGUGUUGAGUUUGAAAUGGUGUUUGUACGGUUGUGAAUAGUAAAAUUAAUGUAUUUUAUGCAAAUAAUUCGAGCUGUAUGCUAAAAGAAAGAAACUGAGUUUAUUUUAAAAAUCCUCAUGUAAAUCCAUGUUUUGGUUGCUCUGAGUUAUGAUGGGUAUUAAGAAUUCAUGUAAAAAUGACAGUAAAAAGUUAAUUUUGACAUUGCAAAGCAGUAAAUGUAUCUAUUUGCAUUCAAAUUGACCUUUUAUUAUGGACUAAAUGAGAUCAUUUUCCUGCAUAGGCCGUUUUUUUUCUUUUGAGUCCUUCACCUGGGUCUAGACUAUUUUUUUAAAAUAUUUUUUAUAAAUGAACUGUAUGUCAAUCAGUAUUUAUCCUGUGCAUCAGUGACUGUUGGAAAAAAAAUGCAAUAAAAUGUGAUCCGU